rnacentral:tRNA from 1 species
GGGCCUGUAGCUCAGCUGGGAGAGCGCUACAAUCGCACUGUAGAGGUCAGGAGUUCGAAUCUCCUUAGGUCCACCA